rnacentral:rRNA from 1 species
AGAGUUUGAUCAUGGCUCAGAACGAACGCUGGCGGCAGGCUUAACACGUGCAAGUCGAGCGCGUGUAGCAAUACACGAGCGGCGCACGGGUGAGUAACGCGUGGAUAUCUGCCUUUUGGUUCGGAAUAACCCCGGGAAACUGGGGCUAAUACCGGAUGGUUCCUACGGGAUAAAGAUUUAUCGCCAAAAGAUGAGUCCGCGUCCGAUUAGCUAGUUGGUGAGGUAACGGCUCACCAAGGCGACGAUCGGUAGCUGGUCUGAGAGGACGAUCAGCCACACUGGGACUGAGAUACGGCCCAGACUCCUACGGGAGGCAGCAGUGGGGAAUAUUGGACAAUGGGGGCAACCCUGAUCCAGCCAUGCCGCGUGAGUGAUGAAGGCCUUCGGGUUGUAAAGCUCUUUUGGCGGGGACGAUGAUGACGGUACCCGCAGAAUAAGCCCCGGCUAACUUCGUGCCAGCAGCCGCGGUAAGACGAAGGGGGCUAGCGUUGUUCGGAAUUACUGGGCGUAAAGCGCGUGUAGGCGGUUGUCCAAGUUGGAUGUGAAAGCCUUGAGCUCAACUCAAGAAAUGCAUUCAGGACUGGAUGACUAGAGGACCGGAGAGGAUAGUGGAAUUCCCAGUGUAGUGGUGAAAUACGUAGAGAUUGGGAAGAACACCAGUGGCGAAGGCGGCUAUCUGGACGGUUUCUGACGCUAAGACGCGAAAGCGUGGGGAGCAAACAGGAUUAGAUACCCUAGUAGUCC